rfam:Triticum aestivum genome assembly, contig: Triticum_aestivum_CS42_TGACv1_scaffold_093165_2AL
AACAUACUCCCUCCGUUCGGAAUUACUUGUCUUGAAAAUGGAUGUAUCUAGAACUAAAAUACAUCUAGAUACAUCCAUUUCUACGACAAGUAAUUCCGAACGGAGGGAGUAGUAC